rnacentral:rRNA from 1 species
AGAGUUUGAUCCUGGCUCAGGAUGAACGCUGGCGGUAUGCUUAACACAUGCAAGUCGUACGAAGAUAAAAUUAUGCUUGCAUAAUUUUAUACUUAGUGGCGGACGGGUGAGUAACACGUAAGAACCUACCUUUUGGCGAGGGACAACCACUGGAAACGGUGGCUAAUACCUCAUAUUGCUGAGAAGUGAAAGAUGAAUAAUCACCAAAAGAUGGUCUUGCGUCUGAUUAGCUAGUUGGUGAGGUAACAGCUUACCAAGGCGAUGAUCAGUAGCUGUUCUGAGAGGAUGAUCAGCCACACUGGGACUGAGACACGGCCCAGACUCCUACGGGAGGCAGCAGUGAGGAAUUUUCCGCAAUGGGCGAAAGCCUGACGGAGCAAUACCGCGUGAAGGAUGAAGGCCUAUGGGUCGUAAACUUCUUUUCUCAGAGAAGAAUUUUGACGGUAUCUGAGGAAUAAGCAUCGGCUAACUCUGUGCCAGCAGCCGCGGUAAGACAGAGGAUGCAAGCGUUAUCCGGAAUGAUUGGGCGUAAAGCGUCUGUAGGUGGUUUACCAAGUCUUCUGUCAAAGAUCAGGGCUUAACCCUGGGCAGGCAGGAGAAACUAUUAGACUAGAGUUCGGUAGGGGCAGAGGGAAUUCCCGGUGGA